UACGUAGGGGGCAAGCGUUGUCCGGAUUUAUUGGGCGUAAAGGGCGCGUAGGCGGUUUCUUAAGUUUGGAGUGACAGCGGGUGGCUUAACUACCCAAGGCCUCUGAAAACUGGGGAACUUGAGGACCAGAGAGGGACAUAGAAUUCCGGGUGGAGUGGUGAAAUGCGUAGAUAUCCGGAGGAAUACCAAAGGCGAAGGCAGUGUCCUGGAGGGUGACUGACGCUGAGGCGCGAAAGCUAGGGGAGCGAACAGG
rnacentral:rRNA from 1 species